GCACCCGUAGCUCAGCUGGAUAGAGCGCUGCCCUCCGAAGGCAGAGGCCCAAGGUUCGAAUCCUUGCGGGUGCGCCA
rnacentral:tRNA from 1 species